GAUGAAGAACGCAGCGAACUGCGAUAAGUAAUGUGAAUUGCAGAAUUCAGUGAAUCAUCGAGUCUUUGAACGCACAUUGCGCCCCCUGGCAUUCCGGGGGGCAUGCCUGUCCGAGCGUCAUUGCUGCCCUUCAAGCCCGGCUUGUGUGUUGGGUCGUCGUCCCCCCCGGGGGACGGGCCCGAACGGCCGCGGCGGCACCGCGUCCGGUCCUCGAGCGUAUGGGGCUUUGUCACCCGCUCGAUUAGGGCCGGCCGGGCGCCAGCCGGCGUCUCCAACCUUCUAUUUUACCAGGUUGACCUCGGAUCAGGUAGGGAUACCCGCUGAACUUAAGCAUAUCAAUAAGCGGAGG
rnacentral:misc_RNA from 1 species